UUGCUUAAAAAAAACAACAACAACAACCCUGGCUGGUGUGGCUCUGUGGGUUGAGCAUGGGGCCUGCCAAACAAAAAGUUGCUGGUGGGAUUUCCCGUGAGGGCACAUGCCUGGGUUGUGAGCCAGGUCUCCAGUUGGGGGCAUGCAAGAGGCAACCGAUUGAUGUUUCUCUCUCACAUCAAUGUUUCUCUCCAUCUCUUUCUACCUUCCCCCACCUACUGAAAAAUAAAACCUUCAAAAAAUCAUUAUUAUAGGAGUAUUUAGUCUCUGUACUCUCUUCCCUGGAAAUGCGCUCCUUAGGUCUUCAAAGGUGCUGAUUCUCUCUUCCCCUAUAGGCCAGGUUGGCAGCGUGCAUCAUCUCCAUCCUUUCUCAGUCAGCGGGGUGCUAGAGGACUAUAUCUGAUGUCACACCAACAGCAAGGGGCCAGAAGAUGAACCAGGAGAACCAUCCAUGCCUUCGACCAUAGUCCCAGUGGCCUCCUUGUUUCAGCAAAGGGAAGCAGGGAUCUUGGAUACCAAGUAUCCAGAUACGUGCUAAUAAAUACCCUCUGUCUAAACUGAGAGAAGGAUGAGCUAAGAGGAGGGGACUUCUCCAACAGAGUUCUAGUACUCAUAUGCCUGUUUCUAUGCCUUUCAUUGCUGGUGGCUCUGCUCUGCAGCUGGGGUAAGGUAUCUUCUGCUGGGAUGCUUCUGGAGAUCCACAGACCAUUUUGGUUGGAGAAAGGGUCCAAUCAGCUACUCUUCAUGAAGGAAAUGGGACCAGCUCCACUCCCCAGCUCUCCCUGACAGCAACAGGGGCUCAGGGGCCCUGCUGGAAUACCCACAAUAAAGCUCGGUUUUGACCUCAACCAGUGAUCACCUAACUCUGGUGUAAAAGUGGUGCUGUGAGGGGGUGCACCAGGUGGGGUGCAAUAUUAGAGGAAAUGAGUGAGUGGGAAAUUUAAGAAUCACUCCUCAGUACCACAUGCUUCUCCUCUUCCUCAAACUCGCCUUGGACCCUGUUUUCUUCCAUGUCGCUUGGAAGCCAACUCCACUCCUGGCCAUUCCAUCCCCUCGAAUCUGAGGAGACAUGGCCCGCAAGUGGACUGCCUGGUCCUGAGCAAGUCUAGCGAGGUAGUACUGAAACAGGGGGAAUAAAUACUGAGUGGCAGAACCCCCGGCCCCUGCCUCUCUGUAGAGAUGCCCUAUCAAGACAGACAAGAAGCUCUGGCAUGAGGAAUGUUGGCCAGACCUCCACAGAGAAAGGGGAAGUAAGAGAAACACUGAUCCACUUCUCCACCUAUCCAUGCACUCAUUGGCUGACUCUUGCGUGUGCCCAGACCAGAGAUUGAACCCACGACCUUGACAAAUUUCGACAAGGCUCCACCAACUGAGCUACCUGGCCAGGGCGCAUGCACUAUAAUUAUUUUCAUUUCAUAGAUGAGGAAAAUUGGGGCUCACAGUAAGUGAUUUCCAUACUAUCACAUUCUAUUAAAUGGCAGAAGAGAGCCUGGAACUUAAGACAAUAGGGCUCUUUCACUACACCAGGCUUUCUGAGAGCUUGACUACGGCCACUGGGAAAAGGGUGUGUUUGAAGAGAGAUGUCAGAGGCAGGAAGAGCAUUGGAGCAGCCUCAGUCAAUUCGGUUCAUAGUUUAGAAGAGUAGCAGUAUCAUAGAGCAGGGAUGAUAUGGCAUGUGUCCUUGACAUUGUUUCCCCUUCUCCAGAGAAGAGCAAGACUGAAGUGGGUGGAGCCCAUAAGAAAUCUUCCCACAGACGUGAGACCUGGAAUGGGAAAAGGAGGAUCCAGCCUUUGGCUGUGUGUCAGAGAAGAAGUGGGCAAGGUCCUCCUUGGAAAUGUGAAGGUUAAUGUAUGUUUGACAGGUCUAAGGAAACUGAGGCCCAUGACAAAGAGCGAGCUCUCUAUUCCGAAGGGGUAAGGGAGGUGCAGCACCUUUUUUGGGUUUUGGUUGUGGUGAGGGUAACUACAGUUCAUUUGCACACGUACUUACUACACCUUGGACAGGCUCAGUGUCUGGAACGUGGUUCAGGGGGCAAAUAGAGUGGAAGCAAAAAUCCCAGUCCAGUGUUUAGUCCCGAUUUCACCACUGCUCUUUUCCCUCCAACUAAGUCAGAAGGAGUGGUAGAAAUUAUUUGGUCUGUCCCCCAGCCUCUGGGCACUAGUUGAAACUGACAGGUGGAAACCUAGAGUUGGCCCAGACGUGAUGGAUGGUAGAGAUGCCAGUUUGCAGGAGAGAGGGUUUGGCUGCUCUCCUGGGAGCUGUGUCUAGCCAAAGGCUGCCUCCUCCCACCUCUUGCUGGAACCCGCUCUUUUAUAGUCCAUGUCACCAUUGCUCCCUUGGCCUGUCGCAGUGACUGUGGACUUAUAACAACUUUCCCCAUCUACUUAUGGCUCCAGAACCAGGCUGGCUGCACAGAUCCCUCUUCUCCAUCUCCCUUGGCCCAUCAAAAAAAUGGCACAUGUUCUCCCAGUGGCAGCCACCAUCCUUACCCAGUAAUUUCAGCCAUGUAGACAAAUGCUGAGGCCGUCAGCACUACAUUGUUGAAACAACCAGAGAUACCUAUUCUGCAUGCCUGUCUUUUGGUUGGAAGUUCUUAGACCCAAGGGAGACCAUUCUUUACCAGCUCUUACCCCGCUGAGACUCCUGACUGUCAGAGGUCCUAAAUGUGGCUAGGAGACAGCUCUCUUCCCUUGGAGCCAAAAUGGCUUCUAACCAGGAAAUACCAGGGCCCCUACUCACUCGCUUUUUUUGGCUGCCUCUCUACUCCAGGCCCCGUUCUCUCCUGCCACCACUCCCUUCCCAUUCCUCCUCUCUCCUCUCUCUCUCUCUCAGCAAGUUUUUUAUGUGAUUACAGGCACUGCAUGGUAAUUAGUGCUAAACUCAUUUGCACAACUACAGUUAAUUGGCUACAACAAUUAAUUAAUGUGUUGGAAAUUUGGCACUGGAAAAAAAAAGUUUGUCAUCAAAAAAAGGGCAAAAAUUUGUAGAGUAAGGUACCCAUAAAAAUUGAGGGCAGGCUUCAAAAGCCCAGCUGGGCCUCACGCUUCAGGCCGGCCUCGGACGCCUUCCCACUCUCAACUUCAACGCAUUUUCUUCCUUCCUCUUUCAUUUUUUUCCUCUUCCUUUUUCCCUCGCACCCUUCCUCUCUCUUCAUCUCUCUUCCCCUCUCUUUCUCUCUCUUUUACAACUUAAGCAAACUCAUUUCCCUGAUAAAAUAUAGCAUGACUAAUGGCUAGAGCAUGUAAAAAUCAUUGGGAAAAUGUCCUUGGAAGACGAAUGCAUUUUCAGCAGAAUAAUUAACUUAAUUAACAAAUUCACAUGCAUAUUCAUCAGGCUAUUAAUGUCUUCUCGGCUCAGCUUGAUGAACAUUGCGGUAAUAACCAUCUCAUUUACAUACUGCAUUCUACUGCGAUCCAAAACAGAGACAACAUACAGGCGUAUACACACACAUAUACACUUGCACAAAUACACACAACAUGCCUGGGCCGCUUUGAUUUCCAGGUUGGCUGUGUGUGUGUGAGAGAGAGAGGGAGUGUGUGUGUGUGUGUGUGUGUGUGUGUAGGAACCCCGACUGGGCGAUGCGAUCUUCAGAGGGUCAUGAGCAAGGUGGGGUAGGGGUGUCCACAUGUGGAUGUCUGAGCGAACUUUAAUUCAUUCUCUCUCUCUGCCUCUUUUUCCUUGUUUCCUUUCCUCUGUGUCAUUUUCUUCUCUCGUGCCGCCCGCCCCCCAGUCUCUCUAGGGAAAAACUUGGUAUCUGUGCCAACUUUUUCCCUCCUCCCCUCCUCCCUCUCUCUCCUCCUUCCCCACUUCCAACUGCUGCCAGCCGGCAUCAGCACCGAAUUGCCAUCUCCUUGAGCUCUCUGUGGAGCAAUCUCAGAGAGCAGUAAGGUGUGACGCGGGGCUCUGCCGGCUUCGCAGCACCGCCUGCGGAAAGAGCGCAGGAUGGCGGAGGAAGAUUAAGAGAAAUCGCGAGCAGGGCUGGGCUGCCAUUGGUGUGUGCAAACGCCGAGGAGGAAGGGAGAGGGAGAGCAAGGAGGUGGGGGUAGAAGGGGCGGGGGGACCAGCAGCUGUCGGCCUAAUUCUUCUAACACUCUGCUUGUGGUCAUAUUAGAAAAACAGAUUAUGCCCCUCGGUGCCACUCACUUAUACUUGACAAUAGUUAAUGUUCUCUAUCUCCAUUCGCAGGUCUUGAUGACAAUGGACUUCAGGUCAAGGAGGAUGGGGGUGUGGGUGGCCAAGGGGCACCCAAGGCCGACCCCUCCUGCUCUCCUGACCCCAGUCUAUACUAGCCCUCUAGGAAGCAAGUCUGGGCCAUAAUUUUCAUCUGAUGCUACCAUUUGGCUCUGCUUUUUGCAGCCCCUUAGGAGAUGCAGAGGUCAGAGGACACCUGGAAGCCCUUUCCCCUGGAAAGUUACCACCCUUUUAGAGUCUUAAUAGGUCACAUUAGGUCGAAGUAAGACCAGCUUUGUGGCACCCCUUCCUCUACCCUUUCUGUGGGCCCUACCCCUCAAUCCAGAAGUUGAGGGGUAGAGAAAGCGGUCCAUGAUAGUGCUCCAUGAGAGGGCUACAGAAAAGCCAUAAACAAAACAAGGCCAGGAUUGUUUCUAGGUUGCUAUGGAAACCAGGUUCCCUCCUCCUGGCAGAAAGGGAGGACUGCCUGAGGCUUGCCUCCUUCCACCAAUCCGGAAGGCUGUAACGGUGGAGUUUGCUAAGGCUCUGAGAAUAGAGGCCUGGUCUUAGAGGACAAACCAACCAUUCCCAGUAGCACUGUCUGCCAGACCACAGCCCUUUGACCUCCACCUUCCUUACCCUCUCACCCCAAAAUUCAGUCAAAGGAGGCUUUUCCUCUCAGUGCCUUGUCCUCUAUGGAGACCUGUUGCUUAGCAACCACUAGUGCCUUCUUCCUAAUAACUUGCAGGGACUGAGAGAUAUAAUAUCUGUCUCUAUAUUCAGUCCCCCUCCCCUGUCUAUUUAUAUUUAAUAACUGAAGCCCUGUCUUGGGUUCUCUUGGCACUUGUUUUAGAGUGCUUUUAGAUGGAGUGAGCUACAGGCUGAAGAAAUAAAGUUGUACUUUAUGAAGAACUCCCAAGCAGGCAAGAGUGGGAGAAAAGACUGGAGUAGAUAGGGAAGUUAUGGGGCGAUACUUUUUUAGGUGUAUGUAGGUGGGGCGGGGGGAAGCACUGAGAACUUGGAAUGUGCGGGGAGGAUGUCUACAGGGCUUCCCAAGGGUCUGUUCAGGAGCCCGGGGUGGACCCUAAAAACUGCUUCCUGGCUUGGCACUUUCCACCCCCCACACCCUGUCCUGCCCUCCUUCCUAGCAACUCUCAGUCUAGAGCCCUCUCAUAUUUCUGUACGUAGGAGGUCCACCCCUCUGGAGCUGUCCGGUUUCCUAGCAUCUGCAUGCUGGUAUCCGAGAGGGGGCUGUGUGGAUGUAUGUCCAGCAAGGCCUCUUGGGUGUCUCCCAAAGUUUUUCAGUCACAGGGAAGGGAUUCUGAGCUCCCUCCUAGGAAGCUCCAGAGCUGACCUAGCAGUGGGGGCUGCAUAGUAUCACCGAAAAUGAGGAGCAAGGAAGGCCUACGUGUAGCCUAUGGGCUGUAUGUGGAGUCAGAAGGCCUGGGUCUGAGCCCCCUCUUCCUGUUCUCCUGUGAUCCUAGUUAACCUUUCCCUUGUGCUUCAUCUGCAGAUCAGAAAUGAUGUUUACCUCCUUGGACUUUUGUGGGAUCAAUUUAGAGUAAUAUGUGAAAGGAAACACUCUGAAAACUGACAACUUUAACUAAAAUAUUAGUUUAAGGUCUGGAAGAGGUCUAAUUGCUGGGAAGAGGGAGGCAUCAUUAAUCCAGUCUUGCCCUGGGCUAGGAACGCCAUUAGCUUUUUAGCCAGAGAGGCAUGAUUCUUUGCCCUCUAGUUGGCGGGGUGGGGAGCUAUAAAUCAAAAUCAAACACAAGUCCGUCUAGGGAAAGUAGCACGCAGUGUUCCCAUCAUCUUCCCCUCCUCCAGCCCCUAACUCUGACCUUUAGUCCUGAGUGGCCAAGACAAAAGUCCUGCCAACACCCCACCCUGGACCUUCCAUCCUUCUGGGUCAGCACCUUCCCUGCAUUUGUGCUGGCUCACAGACUGUGCGGUUUCACCCUCAUACCCCCCUUCUCAGCACCUCCUCCAACCCGAGCCUUCUGUGGGAGACAGAUGGGGUGUCUGCAAUGGAAAAGGCUCUGGGCUCUACGCCGCUUUGGGUGGGCAGCCCCCUCCCCAUCUCCCACUACUCCCCCUCUUCCUACCUAAGACACUCAGAUUCACCCUGGGCAGCUUUAGGAGCUACUGAGAAUUCCAACUCUUCCUUCUCAGACUCAGCUCAAGAAGCAGAGCCAGCAUGGCAUCUUUCUCCAAGACCUAGACCCCAUCCCCUCUUCGUAGAAGACCGAUGCAAGGAGGAAAUAGACUAGGGAAUGGUAGAGCUCCAUGUGAAGGAACUAAUGUGGAGAGGCUCGGAAUCCCUCACUGAGGACUGGGUGGCUGGGCUUGGGGCCUGAGUUGACAGAGGAGGCUGAGCCUAGGCAGCUCCUUUGUUCCAGAAAGCUGGGGUCCCUGGAGGGAGGCUUAGCUUGGGGAGGGGGAGAAAGGGAGCUAACACUACAGAGCACCAACUGUGAGCCAGGCAUGAUGCCAGAGCCUUUCCAUACUUGUAGUCACAACUAGCAGGUGAGGAGUCAGGACGAAUAGGUGUCUCAGGAGCUCUCAGCACCUCGGCGCAGUUGACCUCCUCCCCCUCUGAUUCUGUGAUGUCACUGCCAGUUCUCCCCCUGCUCUGGCCGCUCCUUCCGUCUCCCUUGCAACCUCAUCCUCAGCAACUUGGGCUCAGCCAAGGCCUUCGAUUAUCUACUUUCAUGGUACUGUAUAUCCUUUCAGCACACUUAGAACAGUUACUUCACACUUAUUUGUGCAGCUUUUUGAAUAAUCUUAUUUCCCCUCCAGAUGGAAAGUUCCACAAGGACAACGACCAUGUCUGUCUGUUCACCCAUGUGCUCCCAGCGCCCAGCACAGCGCCUGGCAUAAAGCAGCUAUUUGGUAAACAUUUGUUGAGUGAAUGAAUAAAUGACAAAAUGAUAUCUC